AUUCUUCGGAGGAAUGAAGAGAUGGAGAGCGGCGGACGGGUGAGUAACGCGUAGGCAACCUGCCCUUUGCAGAGGGAUAGCCACUGGAAACGGUGAUUAAAACCUCAUAAUACUGAAGGUUCACAUGGACAUUUGGUCAAAGAUUUAUCGGCAAAGGAUGGGCCUGCGUCUGAUUAGCUAGUUGGUGAGGUAACGGCUCACCAAGGCAACGAUCAGUAGCCGACCUGAGAGGGUAAUCGGCCACAUUGGAACUGAGACACGGUCCAAACUCC
rnacentral:rRNA from 1 species